UCCUACGGGGGGCAGCAGUGAGGAAUAUUGGUCAAUGGACGCAAGUCUGAACCAGCCAUGCCGCGCGCAGGAUGACGGCUCUAUGAGUUGUAAACUGCUUUUGUACGAGGGUAAACCCCGAUACGUGUAUCGGGUUGAAAGUAUCGUACGAAUAAGGAUCGGCUAACUCCGUGCCAGCAGCCGCGGUAAUACGGAGGAUCCGAGCGUUAUCCGGAUUUAUUGGGUUUAAAGGGUGCGUAGGCGGACAGUCAAGUCAGCGGUAAAAAUGCGGUGCUCAACGCCGUACAGCCGUUGAAACUGG
rnacentral:rRNA from 1 species